CUCAACAUGGGCUGGAGCUGGAUCAUCCUCUUCCUGGUGACAACAGCUACAGGUGUCCACUCCCAGGUCAAGCUGAAGCCGUCUGAGGCUGAGCUGGUGAAGCCUGGAGCCUCAGUGAAGCUGUCCUGCAAGACUUCAGGCUACACCUUCAUUUAUGAGUAUAUACACUGGGUGAAGCAGAAGCCUGGACAAGGCUUGGAGUGGAUUGGAAGUUUUUUUCCUAAUACUGGUUAUACUGACCUCAAUCAGAAGUUCAAGGGCAAGGCCAAACUGACUGCAGACAAAUCCUCCAGCACAGCAUUCAUGGAGCUCAGAAGCCUGAUAUCUGAGGACUCUGCUGCCUAUUACUGUGCAACACACUGCAGCACACAGUGUUGCAACCACAUCCUGACUGAUGUCAAGAGUGGGACACAGACAGUCUCCAUGCUGCCCACCUCCAAAGGAGAAGUAGCCACUCCAACUGACCCCAAGGAAUAA